GAUGACUUUGGCAGAUCCGAAGGGAGCUUCUCCCCACUCUGUGGGGAAAACAGCAGCGACACCAGCUCCUUCCUCCUCUGGGUCCCCUCAAGGGGGCCAAAAUACCCACCAGGUCUCUGCUACUUUCUCCCCACUCCUCUGGAACCUCACUCCCUCAUCCUUGGAGGUACCUGGGUUUCUGAUGCCCCAAACAUUCAUAAACUUAACACGUAUUUAUUGAGCGCUUACUGUAUACUAGGCCCUCGUUGGGUACCAUUGCUACAGCAGCCAGCAAGCCAGCCUGGGACCCUGGCCUGCUCAUACGUUCACUCUUUCCUCUUUACUAGGGUCUGGGAGAGAACUUUGCAGACCAAGACUCAGCCCAAGCAACCCCGGCUGCCUUUACUGUCCCUACGGUUUGACCUUUUCCGGAACAUCAGAGUGGAAACCAUGCGGCACGGAGGCUUUUCAGAUUGUCUUCUUUCUCGGCACACAGGAAGAAAUGACGAAUCAGGGGUCAGACACCUGAGUGUUGGGAUUUUGUUUUUUAAUUACAUGCCUCUUUGAAAAAUUGGACCUUGUAUUUUAAGCUAUGAUCUGUGAUAUAGAAGGAACCGUCAGGAUGGGGAGUCCAGAACGUUGAGUCAGACCUCACCACGGUCCACCUUGACCUUCUGUCUCCUCGUCAGUAAAAUGAAUGGGUUGCAUUCCUUAGUGUGAAUGCUGCCAGUUGCAGACUUUGAUAGAAAGGAAUUCUCCAACCUGUCCCUGUCCCUUGUGAUAGUGUCG
rnacentral:lncRNA from 1 species